AUUGACACCAUUCUUAGACAUCUAUUGAAGUCAAAUUCCUCAACCAUAUAAGAUUGCAAUAAGAGUAAUCUUUUUGAGUCGGUGCCUACUUUAUUAUUGAGGCAGGGCAUUGUUGUAGUUUCAGUACCCGGAAUGCUGGCUACAAAAAGGUAAUUCUAAUAUGAUAUAAUGUUAGAUUUUUCUCAUGGUGAAACUACUACAAAUCUAGGCCUCAACAGAAUGAAUGCCUUAUAUGCUAUUAAAAUUUUGAAA
rnacentral:misc_RNA from 1 species